GUCUGUGGUCAUACCACCCUGAACGUGCCAGAUCUCAUCUGAUCUCGGAAGCUAAGUAGGGUCGGGCCUGGUUAGUAUGUGGAUGGGAGACCGCUUGGGAAUACCAGAUACUGUAGACU
rnacentral:rRNA from 1 species